rnacentral:rRNA from 1 species
CAGUCUCCGCGGUAAUACGUAGGGUGCAAGCGUUAAUCGGAAUUACUGGGCGUAAAGCGUGCGCAGGCGGUUAUAUAAGACAGAUGUGAAAUCCCCGGGCUCAACCUGGGAACUGCAUUUGUGACUGUAUAGCUAGAGUACGGCAGAGGGGGAUGGAAUUCCGCGUGUAGCAGUGAAAUGCGUAGAUAUGCGGAGGAACACCGAUGGCGAAGGCAAUCCCCUGGGCCUGUACUGACGCUCAUGCACGAAAGCGUGGGGAGCAAACAGGAUUAGAUACCCCGGUAGUCCCUGUCUCUUAUAC